GACGAACGCUGGCGGCGUGCUUAACACAUGCAAGUCGAACGAUGAAGCUAGAGCUUGCUCUGGUGUAUUAGUGGCGAACGGGUGAGUAACACGUGAGUAACCUGCCCCGAACUCUGGGAUAACUGCUGGAAACGGUAGCUAAUACUGGAUACGACCUACGAAGGCAUCUUCUGUAGGUGGAAAGAAUUUCGGUUCGGGAUGGACUCGCGGCCUAUCAGCUUGUUGGUGAGGUAAUGGCUCACCAAGGCGACGACGGGUAGCCGGCCUGAGAGGGUGACCGGCCACACUGGGACUGAGACACGGCCCAGACUCCUACGGGAGGCAGCAGUGGGGAAUAUUGCACAAUGGGCGCAAGCCUGAUGCAGCAACGCCGCGUGAGGGAUGACGGCCUUCGGGUCGUAAACCUCUUUUAGUAGGGAAGAAGCGAAAGUGACGGUACCUGCAGAAAAAGCACCGGCUAACUACGUGCCAGCCGCCGCGGUAA
rnacentral:rRNA from 1 species